CAGGGCCCUGUGCCUGUCUGACUCCUGAUUGGGACACACCUGGAGGAGAAACACACCUGGAACAGGCCCCUGUGCCUCUCUGACUCCUGAUUGGGACACACCUGGAGGAGAAACACAUGUGGAACAGGGCCCUGUGUCUGUCUGACUCCUGACUGGGAUCUAUCUGAAUGGGGAUCCCACCUGGAACAGGGACCUGUGCCUGUCUGACUCCUGAUUGGGAUCUAUCUGAAUGGGGAUCCCAGCUGGAACAGG